GGCCCCAGGAAAGGCAGAAGCCUCAAGCUUGCCUGACUGGGCAGAGGGAUCCUCCUCCUGGCAUCACUGAUGACUUGCCCAAAGCAAUGUGCUCUGAAGCAACAGGACUGCUCAGCCUAUUGAAAUACAGAGCCAAUGUGACCACAAAGCAUUAUUGAGCCAUCAUCCUCAGUCACUGGCUGAUUACACUGGGGAAGACAGAUGGGUGCAAUGUAGAAUGUGGUGAAAGAGAAGAGGCAUUAAGGUGACUCUAAAAUGCUAAUAAACAUAUUUGACCUACCUUUGAGCUGGCAUAUUGCAUACUGCCCCAGAGAACCACUCCGGCUGCUCCCAAAGCUGCACUUUCACCAAUGGUAUUGACCAGAUCCCUCUGACAAAGAAGGUCAAAACCAGACAGCAGAAAAUAAAGGACAGAAAAAUAAAUGUGAAAAAGCACUAGGAUAUGAGCACUACUUUUUACUUUUUUGUUUGUUUCUUUUUCUUUGUCAGUCACAGAAGAGACAUCAGUCCUGUGGCAUAUUUGUUUCAAAUUAAAAUCACUAUUUAGUUUAGGAAGCCCUUUUGUGUCUCUCCAAU